GACGAACGCUGGCGGCGUGCUUAACACAUGCAAGUCGAACGGAAAGGCCCUGCUUUUGUGGGGUGCUCGAGUGGCGAACGGGUGAGUAACACGUGAGUAACCUGCCCUUGACUUUGGGAUAACUUCAGGAAACUGGGGCUAAUACCGGAUAGGAGCUCCUGCUGCAUGGUGGGGGUUGGAAAGUUUCGGCGGUUGGGGAUGGACUCGCGGCUUAUCAGCUUGUUGGUGGGGUAGUGGCUUACCAAGGCUUUGACGGGUAGCCGGCCUGAGAGGGUGACCGGCCAAAUUGGGACUGAGAUAAGGCCCAGACUCGUACGGGAGGCAGCAGUGGGGAAGAUUGCACAAUGGGCGGAAGCCUGAUGCAGCAACGCCGCGUGCGGGAUGACGGCCUUCGGGUUGUAAACCGCUUUCGCCUGUGACGAAGCGUGAGUGACGGUAAUGGGUAAAGAAGCACCGGCUAACUACGUG
rnacentral:rRNA from 1 species